UGUCGUUAACUGCAGCAGCAGCAAGGGGAGAGACGAAGGAGAGAAAACAGGCCGGCGGACCAAAACAAGUCACUGCAGAAUCUUGAAUUUAAGCAGAUUUGCCCCCACACAAAUCAUAUCAGAUCAUCAUGGGCCAGCUGUUCUCAUCAGAAGAAGAAGUUUCUCAAAUGAAGGAUGCAGCUGGUUCCCUCCUCUAUGACGCCAUGCUGGAAGGUGGUGCUGUGCCUGACCUGAGAGUCGUCCACCCUCUCCUCCUGGCUAAUCAAAAUGAGAACGUUGUCUCCCAGGCUGGCCUCCAGGAACAACUGCAACAGCUGCAGAGCGACAUUGGGAACAGGGCGCCCACCUACCUCAGGGAUCUGAUCGGCCGCCUGUCAUCAUUCUCUGAUGAGCCACGCCUGGCCGGCCUUGUGGGAUUAGUAGUUACUAUGGUGAUGGAUAUGGUUUACACGUCAUCCAGACAGCCAUCAGGUGUGAAAGGGAAGUCAGCAGGGUCAUCAUCAUCCCAGAGAGUCUGGGAGCUGCAGGAGGUGAUGGAGGAGUACCUGAAACGCUGCAGAAUAAGCCUAAAUGACAAAAGCAGGUUGAUCCAGGACUCCCUCAGACUUGAGGCUCAACUUAGCCUCACCCUCACCCAGCUAAAGACCUGUCUGCUGGCUGACUGUGAUUCCAGGUCACUGAGACACUGGGCCAGCGGAGCAGCUUUUCACACACAGAUGUUGAUCCACCUGGCUGCUCUUGAGGGCAAAGCUGAGCCUCUGUCAGCAAGGGCAGCACUGAACCAGUACCAGGAAGACCUCGCACAGAUCAUACCUGUGUACAGGCGUUAUAAGUCUAACACUAUCUGUGUCGUGAAAUGUCGAGGGAGUCUUCUGGCAACGUCUGACCCCUCUGGAGAAGUGCUGGAAGAAGGCGCCAUGACUGGACUCACUGUGACUGACAGGGAGACGGGGAAGAGUGUGACCGUCCCCCUAUCCAGCAUGGAGGCGGAGACAGGAAGUAGGAGACUCAACCUGGACCUGAUCACAUCAGAUCAGUACACUCAGGUAUAUCUGGACCACCUGUUCUCUAAUAAGGGGCCUGUGGAAAAGCUGAAGAACUACUUCUCUAAAGCUAAUGAGCGUCUGAAGACAUUAAGAACUGAAUGUACAAUAAAGACCAGGGAGAGAAAUGAAGGAGUGCAUCUUACCGAACAGGCAGAAGGAACAAAUGAAGAACAAAGAGCAGACAAGGGCAGGAGGAGUGAAGAGACGGAGACAUGCAAUGAAAGGGAGGAAAGUUUAAAACUGAGCAUUGUAGAGACACAGCCAGAGGAGAGCACCAAUCAUAGUCCAACAAGUGCGUAAAUGUAAAAAACACUGAAGCUGGGUCAAGAUGUCACUGAAGACAAAAACAAAGAGCUGCACUCAGGAAGGUUAACUGUGUUGUUUGAAGCUUUCAGAGACCUCAAAGAAAAAAAAACAACACUGGCCAAACAUGAAGUUUGGUUAUUGAUUAUGAAAGUGAAACCAAAAAAUACUUUGACUACUAAAUUAUGCAGCUGCGAUUUUCCCCUUAAUAUACUAUGCAGGUUAAAUAUGUUGACAAAUCUGGCAAAAUGACAUUUCACACACGUCAUAGUGGUCAUAUAGUGCCUUAACUUUGAAUGUGAUGGUGCCAAUUAAGAAACAUGUUCACCACGUUCAACCUUGUGUUUAAUGCAGCCUACAGCAGAGAUUAAAAAAAAAGUCUAAGUCUAAGUUUGGACACAGCAGACACUGUGUUCUUGAAGGAACAAAGAAAAAGCUCACCGCAUUUAUUUUGCAAUAGAGCACUGCAGAAAGCAGUCCAUAGCAGCAGUAACUCCAUCACUUAAAAACAGUGACCACUGAGCUAUCGCUUCGUCUUGGUGAAAAUGUGUUUGCCUUAUCAGGUGAACAGGGCAGGUGUUGGAUGAGUUUAAAUCCCAUCUCUGGAAGGCAGCCAUCACCACCGUGACAGCACAGACUUGCAAUUUUCAGUUACAUGAAACAGAAACACCACAAACACUAUUGACAUCAAACUUCCUGCACAAUCACUGAAAGAACUGAAGUGUGUGUACAUGUAACAGGAGC
ensembl:lncRNA uncharacterized LOC114447343